UACGUAGGGACCAAGCGUUGUCCGGAAUCAUUGGGCGUAAAGAGCGUGUAGGCGGCUUGUUAAGUCUUGCGUGAAAUCUCGGGGCUCAACCCCGAGCGGUCGUGAGAAACUGGCAGGCUAGAGUGCGGGAGAGGAGAGUGGAGUUCCUGGUGUAGCGGUGAAAUGCGCAGAUAUCAGGAGGAACACCGGUGGCGAAGGCGGGUCUCUGGGCCGAUACUGACGCUGAGGAGCGAAAGCGUGGGGAGCGAACAGG
rnacentral:rRNA from 1 species